rnacentral:rRNA from 1 species
UCGAGGAUCUUCGGCAAUGGGCGCAAGCCUGACCGAGCGACGCCGCGUGCGCGACGAAGGCCUUCGGGUUGUAAAGCGCUGUCGAGGGGGAGGAACGCCCGCAAGGGCUUGACCUAUCCCUGGAGGAAGCACGGGCUAAGUUCGUGCCAGCAGCCGCGGUAAGACGAACCGUGCGAACGUUGUUCGGAAUCACUGGGCUUAAAGGGCGCGUAGGCGGCUGUCCGAGUCCGGGGUGAAAUCUUUCGGCCUAACCGGAAAAGGGCCUUGGAUACUGGGCAGCUCGAGGGGGGUAGGGGCAAGCGGAACUUCCGGUGGAGCGGUGAAAUGCGUUGAUAUCGGAAGGAACGCCGGCGGCGAAAGCGGCUUGCUGGACCCCAUCUGACGCUGAGGCGCGAAAGCCAGGGGAGCGAACGGGAUUAGAUACCCCGGUAGUCC